UACAGAGGGUGCAAGCGUUAAUCGGAAUGACUGGGCGUAAAGGGCGCGUAGGUGGUUGAUUAAGUGAGAUGUAAAAUCCCUGGGCUUAACCUAGGAAGGUCAUUUCAUACUGGUUGACUAGAGUACAGGAGAGGGCAGUGGAAUUUCCGGUGUAGCGGUGAAAUGCGUAGAUAUCGGAAGGAACACCAGUGGCGAAGGCGGCCCCCUGGUUC
rnacentral:rRNA from 1 species